rnacentral:lncRNA from 1 species
CUCCAUCUCAUGACCCUGAGAUCAUGACCUGAGCCAAAAUCAGGAGUCCAUCACCCAAUCUACUGAGCCACACAGGCACCCCAAAAGUGAGCUUUUAUUUAGGGAAAUUAAUGUUAUUGGAUCAAUUAAUGAUAUAUGGAUUGGUUCAAAUAUUCCAGAGACUCUACCCAAUCAAUAAUAGCCCAAACAGAGGCACCUGGGUGGCUCAAUGGGUUAAGCAUCUGCCUUUGGGUCAGGUCAUGAUCCCAGAAUCCUGGGAUCAAGCCCUGCAUCAGGCUCCCUCCUCAGUGAGAGGCUCCCUCCUCAGUAAGGAAUCUGCUUCCAUCUCCCUCUGCUCCUCCCCACCACUUAUUUUCUUUUUCUCUCUUUCCCUCUCUCUCUCAAAUAAAUAAGUAAAAUCUUCAAAAACAAACAAUAGCCCAAACAAAUAAGGGAAACCAGGGAGAUCUAUUACCUGUGAUCUUAAGGAAAAUGCCCUGAGCUAAAUCCUAUGGGGUCCCACCAUGAUUUCAUUGUGCUUGUUACCUGAUGCCAAUCAUCAAUCUAACAGAUUCCUACCUUUCGAGCAGUUUCUCAACCUUGGCACUGUUGCUAUUUUGGCCCAGAUAAUCCUUUUUGGUUUAAGACUAUCCUAAGCACUGUAGGAUUUUUUAGCAGCACCCUUGCACACAACCCUCUCUUUUGACAACCUAAAACAUCUCCAGAUAUUACCAAACAUUCUUGAGGGAGCUAAAUUGCUCUCAAGUACUGUUAUUAAAUAGAAUUCUCUGUGAUGAUGAAAAUGUUCAAUGUCUACACAGGUCCAACACAGAAGCCAUUGUCACAUAUACCUUACUAACCUUUGAAAUGUGAUUGAUUAUUGUGUCCAAGGAACUGAAUUUUUAGUUUUAUUUCAUUUCAAUUCAUUCAAGUUGAAAUCUGAAUAGCUAUAUGUGGCUGAAGACUACCAUGUUGGGCAACACAGGUCUAGAAUAAAUCAUAUCUGUCUUGAGUAAACCCUUCAUGGAAGGUGGUGGCCAGAGUAUCUACAAAGAAAGAGAACUGAGACAUUAUUAAGGUGCCAAACAAGUUGUAUGAACUGUGUUUACAGCAGUUUACUACUAAAUGUUUGUUUUAUAGAUUGAGAGGAGGAAAAAACAAAAACAAAAACACUCCAACCAGAUCUGUCCAAGGCAGUUUUCUUCCUGAUUUUAGAAAUAGGUUUGCUAUUUUUGUGACCUGUUUCUAUCCAGCCAUACCCUACAUCAUAAUCAGAAUCUUGCAGAGAUUUUUUUUCUUACACACAAAGGGAACAAAAGGAAAUGAGCAUAGGCUUUUUUGAGAUUUGUUAGAUCUGUUAGUUAGAGAUGAAUCCUCAUCUUGCUUUUCCCUCACAUUCAUAAUUUUUUCAGCUCACAUUUUAUCUAUUCUUUAUUUCUACUCUUGUAAAAAGUCUGUCCCCAAAGCAAUAAAAUUAUUAUUCAGCCUUCCAUCUUUUAUCAAAAUAACCUUUCAAUAUAAACAAAUAACUAUACCAGGCAACUCUAGGUAUCAAACAGUAUCUGGAUAAGGGGACUGACCCCUCCAUAGAUAGAUAGAAACUGAUGAUUGGAUAUAUUUGUAACAGUCAUUCUGGAACUUUGAAACAUCUAAUUAUUCUAAGGUGGGGAAGAGGAAAGCCAAUAGCACAAUGAAUCAUGUCUCAAUAGGGAUUAUGACAAUUCUCAUAUCGUGAAUGAGAUAAAACUGAGAUCCAGUCCAGAACUGGAAAAUCACAUCUAUAAAAGGGACUGAACUUGGGUCUUCUGACCCAUAUCUAGUAUUACUGCUUCUUCUAUUUUCAGACAUAAGAUGGAAACAAGAGAAUUGAUCUUUAUAAUUGGUUUUCAGAAUGUGUAC